rnacentral:lncRNA from 1 species
CCGCGGCCUGCAGCCGCGCUCACCGCCGCAGUCCGCCCCGGCGCCCCGGGACCCGUUAGUGCCCAGCCUGUGGGCCGACCGCGACCCCCGCCCGGCGCGAGCCUGCCCCCAGCUCUGCCGACACUUGACCCAGACCAGUCCCAACGCCCAGUGCGGCCGCCUGGGGAGCCGCGGGAGAGGCGGCGGCGGGGGGAGGAGGGAGAGGAGGGCCGAGCCGGCGGCCCGGGAGGCCCGGUUUUGAAGCCGCUUCUCUGGCCGAGUUAGGUUUCGCCCAGCGCAAUUUCUUUCUCUAUGUACUUUGCGAAUAAGUUUCGGAGCAUCGGUUAACAGCCUAUGGGUGAAAUUUGGCUUUCAUUCAUGAAUGAGCUUCAGUUGUGGAGGGCCAAAAGGGUAUCAUUCUUCGAGCUAUUCAAGAAAUAUUUCAAAGCAUCUCUGAACAUCCUAGCAUUGACUUUAAUGUGAAAGUAUCUUAUAUAGAAGUGUACAAGGAAGACCUAAGAGAUCUUCUAGAAUUGGAGACAUCCAUGAAAGAUCUUCACAUCCGAAAAGAUGAAAAAGGAAACACAGGGGAAUCACUUGCAAGGUCCACACAAGUCCGCCUAUGUACUCUCUGGAUCGAAUAUUUGCUGGAUUUCGAACACAAAGUCAGAUGCUGUUGGAUCACGUAGAAGAACGAGAUGAGGUCCUCCACUGCCAAUUUUCUGAUAACAGUGAUGAUGAAGAAUCAGAAGGCCAAGAGAAAUCUGGAACUAGG